GACGAACGCUGGCGGCGUGCCUAAUACAUGCAAGUAGAACGCAGUUGCGAACGGGUGAGUAACGCGUAGGUAACUGCCUCAUAGCGGGGGUUAAUUAUUGGAAACGAUAGCUAAUACCGCAUACUGUGAGAUGUACCUGCGUUGUAUUAGUUAGUUGGUGAGGUAAAGGCUCACCAAGGCGACGCUCCAUAGCCGACCUGAGAGGGGUGUCGGCCACACAGGGACGUGAACACGGGCCAGACCCCUACGGGGAGGAGCAGGAGGGAAACUUCGGCAAUGGAGGGAAAUCUGACCGAGCAACGCCGCGGGGGUGGAAGAGGUUUUCGGGUCGUAAAGCUCUGUUGUUAGAGGAGCGGUAACUAACCAGAAAGGGACGGCUAACUACGUGCCAGCAGCCGCGGUAAUUC
rnacentral:rRNA from 1 species